GCCCUAGUGGUGCAAACGGUAAAGCAUUUAGCUGCUAACCAAAAGGUUGGUGGUUUGAAUCCACCCAGCAGCU
rnacentral:tRNA from 1 species